rnacentral:rRNA from 1 species
GACGAACGCUGGCGGCGUGCUUAACACAUGCAAGUCGAGCGGUAAGGCCCUUUCGGGGGUACACGAGCGGGCGAACGGGUGAGUAACACGUGGGUGACCUGCCCUCAGCUCUGGGAUAAGCCUGGGAAACCGGGUCUAAUACCGGAUAUGACUCCAUGACGCAUGUUGUGGGGUGGAAAGCCUUGUGCGGCUGAGGAUGGGCCCGCGGCCUAUCAGCUUGUUGGUGGGGUGAUGGCCUA